GAAGUUUUGUGUUUGUGGGAAUUAUUGGAGUUGUACUUAAUCUGAAAAGUUGAACUAUUGUGAUAAUCUCUUCAUGGUUAAAUACCAACAAGACUGACAUUUUUAGCAAUGUCCAAGAAUUUGGCAAGUAGUUGCAGAGUACUUGAAUUACUUUGGUCCAUGAAGCUGACAUUGAAGUUGUAAUUUUCUACAUUUGUUGGAGUUCUUCAUAAAAAAAUAAAGAUUAAACUUUCAAGAUCAGCUGAAGGAUAUUUUACCUUAAUGACAUGGAUAUACCAAAGAUAUGUACAAAACAGGAAGCUUCAAAUAAGUGAAUAUUGGAAGUCGUAGAGGAAAGGAUGGUCUAUUCUACAUGAAGUAGUAGUCUUUCAGAGGCUCCAGUAAGAGUACGGGAACUGAAAUCUCGAGAAAUUAUUACCUAGCAGUCAUCAAGAAGCUAUUUAAGUCUCGCCCUUCUAGGUUUUCAAAUGGAGAAACUACCAACGGCAAGCCAACAAUUUUAAGAUCAAGUUACAAGCCAAAUUGUUCAGUUGCUGUCAAGAGUACUCUGUUCUCUGGCCUUCUCAAGUUGGCAUGACUAACAAGAACGAACAACCAACCAUACAUAGUUUUAGGCCAACAUAUCAGUGAAGCCCAGCGCAGAAAUAAAAAGUGAAAAAUUUCCGGUACGAUGAUCAAGUCGGCCAUCAGACUUAAUAAUUUUUGUACUGUGUAAUACGGUCGUUAAGUCUGUCAUCGGACUUUGUAAUUUUUUUAUUUUGACAA